UACAGAGGUCCCGAGCGUUGUUCGGAUUCACUGGGCGUAAAGGGUGCGCAGGUGGUUUGGCAAGUUUGAUGUGAAAGCCCCGGGCUUAACCCGGGAAUGGCAUUGAAAACUGCUUGAACUGGAGGGUUGGAGGGGGGACUGGAAUUCUUGGUGUAGCAGUGAAAUGCGUAGAUAUCAAGAGGAACACCAGUGGCGAAGGCGAGUCCCUGGACAAACCCUGACACUGAGGCACGAAAGCCAAGGGAGCAAACAGG
rnacentral:rRNA from 1 species